CGAUGAGCCUGCCGCGUGAGUGAUGAAGGCCUUCGGGUUGUAAAGCUCUUUCACCCGGGAAGAUAAUGACGGUACCAGGAGAAUAAGCGCCGGAUAGCUCCGUGCCAGCAACCGCGGUAAUACUCCGUGCCAGCAGACGCGGUAAUA
rnacentral:rRNA from 1 species